GUUGUGGCUCAGGGGUAGAGCGCUCGCCUAGCAUGUGCGAGGCCCUGGGUUUGAUCCUCAGCACCACA
rnacentral:tRNA from 1 species